GAUGGUCUUGCUAUCACUAAGAGAUGGUCCCGCGGUGUAUUAGUUAGUUGGUGAGGUAAUUGGGCUCACCAAGACAAUGAUACAUAGCCGAGUUGAGAGACUGACCGGCCACAAUGGGACUGAGACACGGCCCCAUACUCCUACGGAGGCAGCAGUAGGGAAUCUUCCACAAUGGACGAAAGUCUGAUGGAGCAACGCCGCGUGUGUGAUGAAGGGUUUCGGCUCGUAAAACACUGUUGUAAGAGAAGAAUGACAUUGAGAGUAACUGUUCAAUGUGUGACGGUAUCUUACCAGAAAGGAACGGCUAAAUACGUG
rnacentral:rRNA from 1 species